AGAUUUCUUUCAUUUUCUUUUCCCCCAAAAACGUCUCCACUACUCCCACUCCUCCCAAACCCUCCCCCAACUUGUCUCCGGUGAUCUUCCAGCCAUUUCUCUCCGGUGAUCUUCGAAGUUCUUCCUAAAGGUAUGUUCUUCAUCCUCCAUUAGUUAUCUUCUUUUGUUAUUGUGUUAUCUUCUUCAUCUUUUUCUCUCAUUUUUUUUGUUGUUUAUGAUUUGGGGUUUAUGAUUUGGGGUUUUUUGAUUUUGGGAUUUAUUAUUUGUGAAAGUUAUAGUAAUUAGGGGGUUUAUAUUUAGGGUUUUAUGAAAUGGGAAUUUGUAAUUUAGGGUAUUAUGAAAUGGGGUUUUUUUAAUUUGUGGUUGAUGUUUGAUUUAUUGUGUUGUUUAAAAUGUUUUAAAUUGUUAGGGUUAAAUGUAUUCAAUGUUAUGAUUGUUUUAAUUUAUUGGUUUGAAUGCUUUACUUUUUAAUGUUUUGAAUGUUUGUUAGUAUUGUUCUUAUUGUUAGUAUUAUUUUAAAUGUUAUUUAAAUAUUAUUUAAAUGCUUAGUUUUAAUUGUUAGUAUUGUUGGUCCUUUUUUGAUUAAUUUGUGAAAUUAUUUUGUGGUAUUUAAUUUACUGUUUUGCUGGAAUUAUUUUGUGGUGUUUGAUUUAAAUUAUAUUAAUGAUUUAAAUUACUGGAAUUUUGCUUUGAAGUGUACAUAUUUGCUGGAAUUUUAUAAUUACUGGAAUUUUGUGGUGAUUUUAAUUAUUAUGUGAUUUGAAGUGUAUAUAUUUGCUGGAAUUUUGUAAUUUGUUAUUGAUCUAUAAUUAAAUUAUUUUAAUUUUAUAAUCUUAUUUUUAUAUACUUUACAAUUAAUCUUAUUGCUGGAAUUUGUAUUUUUGUAAACUUUUUAGGUUGAAUUGUUGUUGGAUUUUGUGUCUUCGAUAUCCGAUCUCCAUUCCCCGCCGCGCCGAACUAUUUUUAAUUGUUGUUGGACCAUCUUGCGCUAGGUGUUUGUUUUGAUUAAGGU
rnacentral:lncRNA from 1 species